UGAACUUGACAGUACGGAGUCCUCUUCGGAGGAAUCUGACAGUGUGGGUAAUCAUACUCCCGAGAAAAUCCGCUAAGCUUAACCCAUGCGGCACCCGUACCGCAAACGGACACACGUGGUCGGGUAGAACAUACUAAGGCGUUGAGAGAUUCAUGGUUAAGGAACUAGGCAAAUUGACCCUGUAACUUCGGGAUAAAGGGUCCUCGUGAAUAGCGAGGCGCAGAGAAUAGGUCCAGGCAACUGUUUAACAAAAACACAGGGCUGUGCAAACUCGAAAGAUGAGGUAUACAGCCUGACACCUGCCCGGUGCCGGAAGGUUAAGAGGAGAUGUCACCAGCAAUGGGAAGCAUUGAAUUGAAGCCCCGGUAAACGGCGGCCGUAACAAUAACGGUCCUAAGGUAGCGAAAUUCCUUGUCGGGUAAGUUCCGACCUGCACGAAUGGUGUAAUGAUCCGGACGCUGUCUCAACCAUGAGCUCAGUGAAAUUGUAGUAUCGGUGAAGAUGCCGACUCCCCGCGAUGGGACGAAAAGACCCCGUGAACCUUUACUACAGCUUAGCAUUGACCUUGGUCAUCCGAUGUGUAGGAUAGGCCGGAGGCUUCGAAGCGGGAGCGCCAGCUUUCGUGGAGCCAUCCUUGAAAUACGGCCCUUUGGCUGUCUGAGGUCUAACGCGCAGAAGCGCGGACACUGCUUGGUGGGUAGUUUGACUGGGGUGGUCGCCUCCAAAAGCGUAACGGAGGCUUCCAAAGGUGCCCUCGGGUCGAUUGGUAACCGACCUCAAAGAGUGCAAUGGCAUAAGGGCGCUUGACUGGGAGGCAGACAUGCCGAGCAGGCAGGAAACUGGGGCAUAGUGAUCCGGCGGAUGUGUAUGGAAACUCCGUCGCUCAAAGGAUAAAAGGUACUCCGGGGAUAACAGGCUGAUCCCCCCCAAGAGCUCAUAUCGACGGGUGGUUUGGCACCUCGAUGUCGGCUCGUCACAUCUUGGGGCUGGAGAAGGUCCCAAGGGUUGGGCUGUUCGCCCAUUAAAGUGGCACGCGAGCUGGGUUCAGAACGUCGUGAGACAGUUCGGUCUCUAUCUAUCGUGGGCGUGGGAGUUUUGCGUGGUGCCGUCACUAGUACGAGAGGACCGUGAUGGACAGACCUCCGGUUUACCAGUUGUGCCGCCAGGCGCACCGCUGGGUAUCUGAGUCUGGAUUGGAUAAGCGCUGAGAGCAUCUAAGUGCGAAGCCAGCCGCAAGAUGAGAACUCCAUUGAGGGUCGUCAGAGACGAUGACGUUGAUAGGAUGCAGGUGUAAAGACAGCGAUGUCAAAGCCGAGCAUUACUAAUUGCCC
rnacentral:rRNA from 1 species